rfam:Mucinivorans hirudinis complete genome
CGCGGAGUGGAGCAGUUGGCAGCUCGUUGGGCUCAUAACCCAAAGGUCGGAGGUUCGAGUCCUUCCUCCGCUA